rnacentral:rRNA from 1 species
UACGGAGGGUGCAAGCGUUAAUCGGAAUUACUGGGCGUAAAGCGUGCGUAGGCGGUUCGUUAAGUCUGUUGUGAAAGCCCCGGGCUCAACCUGGGAAUGGCAAUGGAUACUGGCGAGCUAGAGUGUGUCAGAGGAUGGUGGAAUUCCCGGUGUAGCGGUGAAAUGCGUAGAGAUCGGGAGGAACAUCAGUGGCGAAGGCGGCCAUCUGGGACAACACUGACGCUGAGGCACGAAAGCGUGGGGAGGCAAACAGGAUUAGAUACCCG